rnacentral:rRNA from 1 species
UACGAAGGGGGCAAGCGUUGUUCGGAAUUACUGGGCGUAAAGGGCGCGUAGGCGGCUUAUCAAGUCAGGCGUGAAAUUCCCGGGCUCAACCUGGGGGCUGCGCUUGAUACUGAUUGGCUUGAAUGCGGGAGAGGAUAGUGGAAUUCCCAGUGUAGAGGUGAAAUUCGUAGAUAUUGGGAAGAACACCCGUUGCGAAGGCGGCUCUCUGGGACGGUACUGACGCUGAGACGCGAAAGCGUGGGGAGCGAACAGG